rnacentral:rRNA from 1 species
GACGAACGCUGGCGGCGUGCUUAACACAUGCAAGUCGAACGGUAAGGCCCUUCGGGGUACACGAGUGGCGAACGGGUGAGUAACACGUGGGUGAUCUGCCCUGCACUUCGGGAUAAGCCUGGGAAACUGGGUCUAAUACCGGAUAGGACCUUUGCCUUCAUGGGUGGGGGUGGAAAGCUUUUGCGGUUUGGGGUGGGCCCGCGGCCUAUCAGCUGGUUGGUGGGGUGAUGGCAUACCAAGGCGACGACGGGGAGCCGGCCUGAGAGGGUGACCGGCCACACUGGGACUGAGAUACGGCCCAGACUCCUACGGGAGGCAGCAGUGGGGAAUAUUGCACAAUGGGCGCAAGCCUGAUGCAGCGACGCCGCGUGAGGGAUGACGGCCUUCGGGUUGUAAACCUCUUUCAGCACCGACGAAGCGAAGUGACGGUAGGUGCAGAAGAAGGACCGGCCAACUACGUGCCAGCAGCCGCCGUAA